rnacentral:rRNA from 1 species
CCCUUAGAUGUUCUGGGCUGCACGCGCGCUACACUGACGCACGCAACAGGUGCCUGCUCCGAGAGGACUGGGUAAUCAUUUGAGUGUGCGUCGUGAUGGGGAUAGAAUAUUGUAAUUAUUACUCUUCAACGAGGAAUUCCUAGUAAGCGCAAGUCAGCAGCUUGCGCUGAUUACGUCCCUGCCCUUUGUACACACCGCCCGUCGCUCCUACCGAUGGGUGAUCCGGUGAAUAAUUCGGACUGCAGCAGUGUUCAGUUCCUGAACGUUGCAGCGGAAAGUUUAGUGAACCUUAUCACUUAGAGGAAGGAGAAGUCGUAACA